AAAGCGUCUGUACUUUCAGUUUCUAUUACAAUGCGAAAUAAAAAUAGCUAAGAGAGGUCGAAAGACGUCCGAGAAUGUUGCGCCAAAAUAUCAGCCGAUCGCAAACUUUUUUGAAUCAAGAAAGCAAGAGCCAAUAAGUGCCGAAUCAUUCGUGUUAUCGAUUUUGUUAGAAACUGUGUAUACAGCAGUUGAGUUGACAUCCAAAAAACAUGAUGGAAAGUCUGUGACUUAACAAACCUGUCAAAAGUAUAAAAAGGCAUGUCAUUGGUUAGAAAUUGUCGACAUUUUUUAAAGUUUAUAUCAUGGACAGUUUAAAGGAUUAAAGAUAUUAGGAAACAUCAGUUUAUUAAAAUUUAUGAUGAUAGUUUACAGUUCUAUUGAAUCAAUACAAGUGUGCAGCGUCAACGGAAGUAAAUCAGCAAUUAUUUUAAGGAGAUGAUGCCAAUGAUUCACCAUUAGAAGAUAUGACGGUAACAGUGGUCCAGAACUUGGCUCAACCAGAGUUCCACCAACAUUGCAACAUGCACACAACCAGCAAAACAUACCAAGACUGCCGAAUGUUUGGUAAGGAAAAAGCAUCCCACAAUGUUGCGACAGGCCCAUGUUUCAGUUUAUCGAGACUAGUCGUGAAACACAGACUUCUGAUUCAUGGAGUGCGGCAAACAUAUCUGUGCGACUCGUUCACUCCACUGUAAAGACCCGCACGGCAUUAAAAUGGAUAUCAUCCGACGUUUGCAAACGAUGGCUGCAUGAGGUCUGCAUCUCACAACCUACAUCCCAAGAUAGCUUUGUGUGUGAUGUUUGUAUUGCACAAUAUAGUUGAUGUAUUGAAACCAGGCUUUAAAAAUAAAUCAAGGUCAACUACAAUUUAAAAUUAAAACUAGAAAUGGCGCGGCAGAGGCCGACGAGUAUCCCCACGCCGCAUGUUUGACCCAGGGGCGCCCUAGGUUUGGUAAUGGGGCCAUGCAUAGUUGAGGCUUUGUUGAUUCUGGUGGCGGUGAAAAUGUUAAAAUCGAAGUCCUUAAUACAAGAGUAAAAUUCACUUGGAUUUAGGUCCUCAUCCUGCUCUCCUAAAAAAUCUAAUACUGAAUCAACUUCACUGACGUCCAUUAUGUACAUAUCAUCCUCAUUGGAAUGAGAUGGCUGAACUUGCUCUGUUAUAGCCAAUCUUCAUGCUUCUGCUUUGGAAAAGUUAUGUUUUGAGGUUAAAUGGUUGACUAAAUAGUAGCGUCUCAGAAAUUUUAUAUCGCAAUCUUGUACACAACAAUGAAAAUGUUAAAUUUCAUGUCUGUCAUUGAUGUGCCUGUUCAAGAGUCCCUUUUGCUUUAAAUUGUAUGUCACAUUUUUCACACUUGAACAUUUUGAAAGAUUUUCAUAAUGAGUCUAAAAGUGUGAUUGAACAAAUUGAAAGUUUCAGCCCUUUUAUAGAUUCUUGAGGCGCUAUUCCAUGAGUUUCUCAUGCUUUUUAUGCUUGACUGCAUUCUAUCUCUUCUCUAAAAUACAGGUGUCCCUUUGCACCAAUAUUUUAUAAUCCCUUGUAUAAACAUUAGAUGGAUGAGCUAAACCAUUUCACAGAUGAAUAAACACAAAUAAUUGACUACUAAAUACAUCUCUGCGCCACUACUGUGUAACUCUAUAUAUGUUUUCAAUACACAAGCUUCAUUGUUGAAUAAUUCCUUUGUCCGAUGAAAAUGCUUGCACUUCUUCUGAUUGCGUAGAUAACCACUUAAUAGAUUUCGAAAUUUAAACGCGGACCUUAAGUUCAACGUCAAGGUCACAGGGGUCAAAACUUUUUAGUGCGCAUGGAAAGGUCUUGUCCAGAUACACAUGCAUACCAAAUAUGAAAGCAAUAUCUGAAGGUACACAGUAGGUAUGAGCCUUUUUCGAAUCGUGUUUGCAGAUUUCGAAACCUAAACGCUGGCCUAAAGUUCAAGGUCAAGGUCACAGGGGUCAAAAAUUGUAUGCGCAUGGUAAGGUGUUGUUCAGAUACACAUGCAUAGCAAAUAUUAUACCAAUAUCUGAAGGGACACAGUAGUUAUGAGCCUUUUUCGAAUUGCGGUCGCAGAUUCAGAAACCUGAACGCUGACCUCAAGUUCAAGGUCAAGGUAGCAUGUACAAAAUUGUAUGCGCAUGAAAAGAUGUUGUCUAGAUACACAUACAUACCAAAUAUGACAGCAAUAUCUGAAGGGACACAGUAGUUAUGAGCCUUUUUCGAAUCGCGGUCACAGAUUUCAAAACCUUAAAACUGGCCCAAAGUUCAAAGUCAAGGUCACAGGGAUAAAAAUUUUCAUGCGCAUGGAAAGGUGUUGUCCAGAUACACAUGCAUACCAAAUAUAAAAGCAAUAUCUGAAGGGACACAGUAGUUAUGAGCCUUUUUCUAAAUCGCGGUCGCAGAUUUCGAAACCUGAAAACUGACCCCAAGUUCAAGGUCAUAGGGGUAAAAAAAUUGUGUGCGCAUGGAUAGGUGUUGUCUAGAUAUACAUACAUACCAAAUAUGAAAGCAAUAUCUGAAGGGACACAGUAGUUAUGAGCCUUUUUCGAAUCGCGGUCACAGAUUUCGAAACCUUAAAACUGACCCAAAGUUGAAGGUCAAGGGUAAAAAAUUGUAUGCGAAUGGAUAGGUGGUGUCUAGAUACACAUGCAUACCAAAUAUGAAAGCAAUAUCUGAAGGGACACAGUAGUUAUGAGCCUUUUUCGAAUCGGGGUCGCAGGAAAAUCACUGACCCGGCCCCACCCUGACCCCAAUAACUUUUGGCCAAGGGGUCAGAUCAAAAUUCCGUCGCUGUCACCGUCGUAUAUAUGCUCAUAGCUACCAUGUGUGUAAGUUUCAAGGUUCUGGUGCUAAUAGUGUAGGAGAUAAUAGUGUCCAGGACGGACAGAUAGACAGACGGCGGAGCUAAACACAAUAUCCCCACGCUUUAAAAAAAACAUGGGGAUAAAAAAAAAGGGUAAAGAUGAGUACUAAAAUUUUGAGUGUACAUGGUUUACCUGCAUAAAUAGUUUGAAAUUGCAUAUAUAUUUAACCAGGUUUUCCGAAGGAAAAAACUGGUUAUUAGAUUGGCGAAUGCGGGCGGGCUGGCUGGCUGGCUGGCUGGCUGGCGGGCUGGCGGAAUAAGCUUGUCCGGGCCAUAACUAUGUCGUUCAUUGUCAGAUUUUAAAAUCAUUUGGCACAUUUGUUCACCAUCAUUGGACGGUGUGUCGCGCGAAAUAAUUACGUCGAUAUCUCCAAGGUCAAGGUCACACUUUGAGUUCAAAGGUCAAAAAUGGCCAUAAAUGAGCUUGUCCGAGCCAUAACUAUGUCGUUCAUCGUCAGAUUUUAAAAUCAUUUGGCACAUUUGUUCACCAUCAUUGGACGGUGUGUCGUGCGAAAUAAUUACGUCGAUAUCUCCAAGGUCAAGGUCACACUUUGAGUUCAAAGGUCAAAAAUGGCCAUAAAUGAGCUUGUCCUGGCCAUAACUAUGUCAUUCAUUGUGAGAUUUUAAAAUCAUUUGGCACAUUUGUUCACCAUCAUGGGACGGUGUGUCCCACGAAAGAAUCACGUCAAUAUCUCCAAUGUCAAGGUCGCCAUGACUAAAAAUAGAUUUAAAAAAAUAAAAAUUACAAAGGGGGUUAAUUUUUUUUUGGUCAUUUCAAAAGUUCAGUUUGAGUUUUCUCCCUUUAUCAGAUUUUUUUUUCACAAUGAAAACCUGGUUUUGUGACAAUUUUGUCCCUUGUUAAAUUUUAGAACAACAAAGUAAAUGUUGAAAAUGGUUCAUGAUAGUUCUUUGUAUAUUGUUAAAUCACUCACUUUAGGGCAAUUAUAAUUUUUUGUUUAAAAAGGCAAUCUUACUCAACAUCUGCGGAUUUAAGGUGAUACAUGUAUUGAUACUGAUUUUAAGUUGAUGCCAUGUUUUAUACAGAUAACUUGAAUGUACCGAUAGUUUUCAAUUCAUUGCUUUGUAACUGAAAUAAUGAAUUUUUUACCACCUUCCUGUUACUUUUAAUUUAGUGUUUUGUGGAAAAUGAGAUUUUCAUGUUAAAAAGUAUGCAUUAUUCAAGAUAGAUUAAAUCAAAGACAACUGUUGAUACCUGCACAUGGAUAUUUCAUUCCUUAUGUGUGUAAUUUCCUAUCCUUGACAUGCAUAAGUAAUCAUGUAAGAAAAAAUUUGUUUGCAGCUGGUUGUUACUGCAUGUGUAAUUUCUAUUCAAAAUGAUGGUUUUAAUAACAUGUGAUUCAAUGAGAAAUGCAUUUCUCAACUGAAACAUUUCUUAAUUUAUAUAUAAAUCAUAUUUACUAUAUCAUGUGCUCAUGCAUACAUGUUGCUUAUUGUUGAUGUCUUAAUAAACCAAGAGUAUAUUAUCAA